rnacentral:rRNA from 1 species
AGAGUUUGAUCCUGGCUCAGGAUGAACGCUAGCUACAGGCUUAACACAUGCAAGUCGAGGGGAAACGAUAUUGGAAGCUUGCUUCCGAUAGGCGUCGACCGGCGCACGGGUGAGUAACGCGUAUCCAACCUGCCCACCACUUGGGGAUAACCUUGCGAAAGUAAGACUAAUACCCAAUGAUAUCUCUAGAAGACAUCUGAAAGAGAUUAAAGAUUUAUCGGUGAUGGAUGGGGAUGCGUCUGAUUAGCUUGUUGGCGGGGUAACGGCCCACCAAGGCAACGAUCAGUAGGGGUUCUGAGAGGAAGGUCCCCCACAUUGGAACUGAGACACGGUCCAAACUCCUACGGGAGGCAGCAGUGAGGAAUAUUGGUCAAUGGACGAGAGUCUGAACCAGCCAAGUAGCGUGCAGGAAGACGGCCCUAUGGGUUGUAAACUGCUUUUAUAAGGGAAUAAAGUGAGUCUCGUGAGACUUUUUGCAUGUACCUUAUGAAUAAGGACCGGCUAAUUCCGUGCCAGCAGCCGCGGUAAUACGGAAGGUCCGGGCGUUAUCCGGAUUUAUUGGGUUUAAAGGGAGCGUAGGCCGGAGAUUAAGCGUGUUGUGAAAUGUAGAUGCUCAACAUCUGCACUGCAGCGCGAACUGGUUUCCUUGAGUACGCACAAAGUGGGCGGAAUUCGUGGUGUAGCGGUGAAAUGCUUAGAUAUCACGAAGAACUCCGAUUGCGAAGGCAGCUCACUGGAGCGCAACUGACGCUGAAGCUCGAAAGUGCGGGUAUCGAACAGGAUUAGAUACCCUGGUAGUCCGCACGGUAAACGAUGGAUGCCCGCUGUUGGUCUGAAUAGGUCAGCGGCCAAGCGAAAGCAUUAAGCAUCCCACCUGGGGAGUACGCCGGCAACGGUGAAACUCAAAGGAAUUGACGGGGGCCCGCACAAGCGGAGGAACAUGUGGUUUAA